UACAGAGGGUGCAAGCGUUGUUCGGAAUUAUUGGGCGUAAAGGGCGCGUAGGCGGUGCGGUAAGUCUGUAGUGAAAUCUCUGGGCUCAACUCAGAGUCUGCUGCAGAAACUGCCGUGCUUGAGUGUGGGAGAGGUGAGUGGAAUCCCCGGUGUAGCGGUGAAAUGCGUAGAUAUCGGGAGGAACACCUGUGGCGAAAGCGGCUCACUGGACCACAACUGACGCUGAGGCGCGAAAGCUAGGGGAGCAAACAGG
rnacentral:rRNA from 1 species